AUCGGGAUCGGGAUCGGGAGGGGGUCCUCGCCCCCUUGGACGGGGGGCCGGAGACGGAUUAUUCUCUGCGGGGCAACACCAACAAUUUCCCUUCAGUGAGUACUGAAGCCGGACCCAAGCGGGGAGGUCUGACGUUGUGUGGUGAGUUAACUUUCCCGAACUCAAACAAGAGAAAAUCUGCAGAUGCUGGAAAUGCGAACAACGCGCACAAAAUGCCGGAAGAACUCAGCAGGCCGGGCAGCAUCUAGGGGAAGAAUACAGUCGACAUUACCGGACGAAACCCUUCGGCAGGACUGGAGAAUAAAAGACCUGCGGUGAGAGGUUUAUUGGAAGAAAAACCCCAACUGGAAGCAAACCAUGGCUGAAGAUGUGGGAAUAGCAACAAGUGAACUGGCCCGAGGACUGAGAGCAUCAACUGGAGAGAACAACACUGAAUCAGCUGACUUGAAGUUCCCACUGAGUCAGUGAGGAGGAAGUUUGUUAGACCUGCAGUGAGAGGUUUGUUGGAAGAAAAACCCCAAAUGGAAGCAAACCACGACUGAAGACGGGAACAGCAAUAAGUGAACCAGCCUGAGGACUGAGAUCAUAAACUGGAGAGAACAACUGCCUCAGGAGAAUCGGAGAUUCCAUUGAUUCAGUCAGGAGAAAGUUUGGAUAAAAAACGAGAAGGAAUUUGUCUCCAGGAAUCUCAAACACGACACGCCAGUUUUGCUGUCUCUGUCUAGAUAUUUAAGAAGUGGAGCAAGGUAUUCAAUCAACCAUCCUUCCUGCUCAGACUGUGGGGAGGGAUUCACUUGGUCAUUUGAACAUCUAGCAAGCCCGUCAUCUUACAGAGGAGAAAGGCCUUUCACCUGCUCAGACAGUGGGAAUGGAUUCACUCGGUUAUCACAAUUGAAGGUAUAUCAGCAAGUUCACAAUGGGCAAGGCCAUUCACCUGUUCUGUGUGUGAGAAAGGAUUCUGUCGGGCAACCCACCUAUGGACACACCAGUCAGAUCACACAGUGCAGAGACUGGUCAUCUGCUGAAUUUCGGUGAAGGGAUUCUCUCGGUCAUCUGACCUAAUGACACACCAGCGUGUUCACACGAGGGGGCGGCCAUUCACCUGCACAGUCUGUGGGAAGGGAUUCACUGCAUCAUCCAACCUACAGAGACAUCAGCAAGUUCACACUGGGGAGAAGCCAUUCACCUGCUCAGUCUGUGGGAAGAGAUUCACUCAGUCAUCCAACCUACAGAGUCAUCAGCAAGUUCACACUGGGGAGAAGCCAUUCACCUGCCCAGACUGUGGGUAGAGUUUCACUUGGUCAUCCAAACUACACCACACCAGUCAGUUCAUACUGGGGAGAAGCCAUACACCUGCUCAGUCUGUGGGAAGGGAUUCACUCAGUCAUCCCACCUACAGAAUCAUCAGCGAGUUCACGCUGGGGAAAAGCCAUUCACCUGCUUAGACUGUGGGAUAGGAUUCACUCAGUCAUCACAACUACUGGCACACCAGUCAGUUCACAGUGGGGACUUGCCAUUAUAAUGAAUCCCUGGGUUUCCUUUGCUGUGGACUCUCAUUUUAAGAGAGAGACAUUAAGAAGAUGAAUCAGUCUGACUUGCAGCCUGUUUACAUCGCUCGCGCUUGUUUAGCUUUAACCGAGGACACAGACACUCAGAGUCAAAUGGAGACGAAGGAGGAAAAAUGGAAGGAUUGAAACCAGGGAACUAGUGACCAAGGGUCACUGUUUAAAAGUUUCCUAUGCCCACAAGGGUGGGUUAAUUAUCGAUUCAUGUACAUCGAAUGUGUGGAAGUCACAUUGUUUGAUCCAUAGGAGUGGAUCUGAUUUGGGAUAUCCUGUGGAGACCACUUAUGUGUUAACACUUGAAUGGCUGUGGUGUGGCAUUUCACUUGAAAACAUACCCCUUGUUACAAGUCACUUUCGGUGAUAAUCAGUAUGUGGAUUUGGAAUGAUGACGGAUAAAUUCUACAAUGACUGUUCUUUCGUUUUACCACCAUGGAACCUGAGGAAUGUACAUAUUUACAUAUCUACAUAUAUCUACAUAUUAUCUACAUAAUAUCGACAUUUUUGCCUUCUCUUGCCAUUUACCCUGGAUUACAAAUCUCUCUCUCUCUUAUCGCCUAUUCUGUAGUUGAACUGAACUUUCAUACUUUACCAUCUCAAGACUCCGAGCCUUGUUUCCCCCGAGCUCAAUAGUUUGGGAGUUAUAUUUACACACAUUUAUAAACGUAACACUAUUAACUUCUGUUUAUCUUGUUUAAGUUGCAAUAUUACAAGUAGAUUCUAAUAAAGACAGAUUUAACAUCAAAACCA